AUGAACAAAUUCGAUUUAAUAACACAAACACUUGUGAACCGGCUUUUGGAAGGGGUGGAGGCACCUACCUCGAAAGACAGGGACCUCCUUUUAAAAAUGUAUGGAAUUGCGCCCGGAAAUACACAUGCUUUGCUUUUUGAAAUCACAAAAAUGGUAGAAUCAUACAUGCGGCAGGCAAAUUUGGUUUUGCCACCUACAUACGAUGUUACCUGGUUUUGUAACCAGUUUCUGGGCGUGGAUUCUUUUAAGGAUCUAAAGGAUACUUUCGUAGAUUACAUUUCAAGGGGCGCGAAAGCUUAA
rnacentral:rRNA from 1 species